CUAUCAGGUAGUAGUGGGUGUAAUGUACCUACUAGCCUACGACGGGUACGGGUUGUGAGAGCAAGAGCCCGGAGAUGGAUUCUGAGACAUGAAUCCAGGCCCUACGGGGCGCAGCAGGCGCGAAAACUUUACAAUGCGGGAAACCGUGAUAAGGGGACACCGAGUGCCAGCAUCAUAUGCUGGCUGUCCGGGUGCGUAAAAUACACCUGUUAGCAAGGGCCGGGCAAGACCGGUGCCAGCCGCCGCGGUAACACCGGCGGCCCGAGUGGUGAUCGUGAUUAUUGGGUCUAAAGGGUCCGUAGCCGGUUUGGUCAGUCCUCCGGGAAAUCUGACGGCUCAACCGUUAGGCUUUCGGGGGAUACUGCCAGACUUGGAACCGGGAGAGGUAAGAGGUACUACAGGGGUAGGAGUGAAAUCUUGUAAUCCCUGUGGGACCACCUGUGGCGAAGGCGUCUUACCAGAACGGGUUCGACGGUGAGGGACGAAAGCUGGGGGCACGAACCGGAUUAGAUACCCGGGUAGUCCCAGCCGUAAACGAUGCUCGCUAGGUGUCAGGCAUGGCGCGACCGUGUCUGGUGCCGCAGGGAAGCCGUGAAGCGAGCCACCUGGGAAGUACGGCCGCAAGGCUGAAACUUAAAGGAAUUGGCGGGGGAGCAC
rnacentral:rRNA from 1 species